UACGUAGGGGGCAAGCGUUGUCCGGAAUUAUUGGGCGUAAAGAGCUCGUAGGCGGUUUGUCGCGUCUGCUGUGAAAAUCCAGGGCUUAACCCUGGACCUGCAGUGGGUACGGGCAGACUAGAGUGCGGUAGGGGAGAUCGGAAUUCCUGGUGUAGCGGUGAAAUGCGCAGAUAUCAGGAGGAACACCGGUGGCGAAGGCGGAUCUCUGGGCCGUAACUGACGCUGAGGAGCGAAAGCAUGGGGAGCGAACAGG
rnacentral:rRNA from 1 species